rfam:Gossypium arboreum cultivar AKA8401 contig_9873_9, whole genome shotgun sequence.
UGUUAAAAAUUUCAUUUAUUUUCACUAUUAAAAACUAGUAUGACUAACUUAAUAACUAAAUAGUGAGACAUGAUGUGUCAUGUAUAUCUCAUACUGACAUACAAUGGCCAAUUCUUAAUAGUAAAAAUAGAUAAAAUUUUUCA